rnacentral:rRNA from 1 species
ACGCUGGCGGCGUGCCUAACACAUGCAAGUCGAACGAGAAUCGAUGGAUAGAGGCUUCGGCCAAUUGAAUUGGAACUUAGUGGCGGACUGGUGAGUAACGCGUGAGGAACCUGCCUUUCAGAGGGGGACAACAGUUGGAAACGACUGCUAAUACCGCAUGACACAUUCGGAUGGCAUCACCUGAAUGUCAAAGAUUUUAUCGCUGAAAGAUGGCCUCGCGUCUGAUUAGCUAGUUGGUGGGGUAACGGCCCACCAAGGCGACGAUCAGUAGCCGGACUGAGAGGUUGACCGGCCACAUUGGGACUGAGAUACGGCCCAGACUCCUACGGGAGGCAGCAGUGGGGAAUAUUGGGCAAUGGACGCAAGUCUGACCCAGCAACGCCGCGUGAAGGAAGAAGGCUUUCGGGUUGUAAACUUCUUUUAAGUGGGAAGAGCAGAAGACGGUACCACUUGAAUAAGCCACGGCUAACUACGUG